AAUACUCAAAAAUAAACGUCUCAGUUCGGAUUGUAGUCUGCAACUCGACUACAUGAAGCUGGAAUCGCUAGUAAUCGCGGAUCAGCAUGUCGCGGUGAAUACGUUCCCGGGCCUUGUACACACCGCCCGUCACACCAUGAGAGUUGGCAAUACCCAACGUACGUGAUCUAACCCGCAAGGGAGGAAGCGUCCUAAGGUAGGGUCAGCGAUUGGGGUGAAGUCGUAACAAGGUAAC
rnacentral:rRNA from 1 species